rnacentral:rRNA from 1 species
AACGAACGCUGGCGGCAGGCUUAACACAUGCAAGUCGAACGCAUCGCAAGAUGAGUGGCAGACGGGUGAGUAACGCGUGGGAACAUACCCUUUUCUACGGAAUAGCUCUGGGAAACUGGAAUUAAUACCGUAUACGCCCUACGGGGGAAAGAUUUAUCGGGGAAGGAUUGGCCCGCGUUGGAUUAGCUACUUGGUGGGGUAAAGGCCCACCAAGGCGACGAUCCAUAGCUGGUCUGAGAGGAUGAUCAGCCACAUUGGGACUGAGACACGGCCCAAACUCCUACGGGAGGCAGCAGUGGGGAAUAUUGGACAAUGGGCGCAAGCCUGAUCCAGCCAUGCCGCGUGAGUGAUGAAGGCCUUAGGGUUGUAAAGCUCUUUCACCGAUGAAGAUAAUGACGGUAGUCGGAGAAGAAGCCCCGGCUAACUUCGUGCCAGCCGCCGCCGUAAUAC